AUCCUUUUGUAGUUCAUAAGCGUGAUGAUUGGGUUUUCAUGCACAUGCAUGAGAUGUGCCUCCCACAAAUCUUGUUAUGAUGUUGGCACAUUACCCGUCAACAUGAAA
rfam:Otolemur garnettii contig152318, whole genome shotgun sequence.